rnacentral:misc_RNA from 1 species
CCCCCAAAAAGACUGAAAAACCACCAUAUUCGAUGAUCAAUGGAAGAGUAGAUGGCUAGAGCUCCUAUAGCCUCUGAGCUUUCAAGAAUUAGGCGGCCGAACGAAGUAGCCGGUUAUGGGACUCCGUAGAUGACCAUCCUCAUGGUCUAAAAUAGAUUUGCACCCUUCUGCAGGCUAAAGCAAGGUUUCUGCAGCUACUAACACCAAAUCGAACACAAUUCUAGACACUAACACCAAGAAAGGAUAGCAUAAGAUCGGAUCUCAGAAGAUCCAAGUGAAAAAUUGCUGAACAACAUCAAAAGACUAUCGCAGGUUAUAAGAA